rnacentral:rRNA from 1 species
AUUGAACGCUGGCGGCAUGCCUUACACAUGCAAGUCGAACGGCAGCACGGGUGCUUGCACCUGGUGGCGAGUGGCGAACGGGUGAGUAAUACAUCGGAACAUGUCCUGUAGUGGGGGAUAGCCCGGCGAAAGCCGGAUUAAUACCGCAUACGAUCUACGGAUGAAAGCGGGGGACCUUCGGGCCUCGCGCUAUAGGGUUGGCCGAUGGCUGAUUAGCUAGUGGGUGGGGUAAAGGCCUACCAAGGCGACGAACAGUAGCUGGUCUGAGAGGACGACCAGCCACACUGGGACUGAGACACGGCCCAGACUCCUACGGGAGGCAGCAGUGGGGAAUUUUGGACAAUGGGCGAAAGCCUGAUCCAGCAAUGCCGCGUGUGUGAAGAAGGCCUUCGGGUUGUAAAGCACUUUUGUCCGGAAAGAAAUCCUUGGCCCUAAUACGGUCGGGGGAUGACGGUACCGGAAGAAUAAGCACCGGCUAACUACGUG